rnacentral:tRNA from 1 species
GGCCGGUAGCCUCUACCCGAAGACGGCUGUCACGGGUGAUCAGGGCGGUUGUUCCGCCUGAAAAGCGGAAGGUCGGCGGUUCGACCCCGUCCCUGGCCA